GACAACACUGAAUGUCACUAAUGUCAGAUUUGUUCCAACAGACACGAAUUUUUACUGUGGAGAAUUUAUUGAAAUUUAACCGUUUUUCGGCGAUAAUCAUUGUUGAUUUGUACAAAUUAGUGAUCAGAAAACUUGAUGAAUGAGUGAACUUGUACCAGGACUCGAAUCACCACACAUGGUAUCUUGAACGACUAAAGCAGAUGACUUAUGAUAUCAAUUUAGUUAAGGAAAACAAAAACACCAACCUGUUAGCGAUUCCGGAUUUUUAUUGUUCUGAUCAAUAGUUACUUCUAAGGCAUUAGAAAAACAUUCAAUUUUUUCGUGCGCUUGAGAUGGUAGUAUAUUUGAUUCGCCAAUAUUGUUAUGCUGUUAUCAAUCAGUAAUUUGGUAAAUAUUCUUUUGUUACGAUUCUACACUAAACGUAACGCAAAUUUUUGAUUUUUACACGAAAUUGUUAAAACCUUAUACCUACUAACUACACUUUAAACUUAUUAAACCUAAAACUAAACAGAACAAAUAAAACUAAAUAACAAAUUCAAUAGAACAAUGAUAACAAAAUUUUAAAAAUAAAACAAAAAAUAGAACAAAAAUAGAACAAAAAUAUACAUAUAAAGAGUUGUUAAGGCUCAUGACAGCAACAGUUUUAAUAUUGUUUAAUGUUUUUGACUAGGAAUUUUGAAUAUGUGAGCAUUGAGGUCAUUGAAAUGUUGCCUACUGUCAGUUUGCUUUUGAUCUAAAUACUUUUACCAGUAAAAAUAAGUGAAAUGCAAUACUUUCAUAUUAAUGUUCAUGAAUCAAUUUUUCUUUAAUGUGGAUGGGAAUUGACCUUUCCCUUCCAAGGGAAAAGUCAUUCCAUCCUUCUUAAAGGAAAACGUCAUACUGCACUCAGGAAAUAAUUUGAUAUUUCGUAUCACGAUGAGUAAAAUCGGGCUAAGCCCUCGAUCACUCAUCUGGAUACGAAUUAUAAAAUUCCUUCCCUUACAUAGUAAUGUGAAGAACAUUACAUUUCAUACAAUUUUUUAAAAUUUUAAAUUUAAAGGACGAAUUUUAGAACAGCCAUACGAUUGUUUAAUUUAGUAUGAAACUUGUUAAAUUAUUGAAUAAUAAUAUUGGUAUAUAUACCCGCGAAGCAUUUUUCUUGCGAAUGAAAUAUUCAACUUUCUUCCAAUUUUUCGAAUAUUCUCCAAGAUUCUUGUUAGGGAUCCAGUCCACAUCUAAAUAAUCGUCGGCUUUUGAAGGU